rnacentral:rRNA from 1 species
UUGGAGGGCAAGUCUGGUGCCAGCAGCCGCGGUAAUUCCAGCUCCAAUAGCGUAUAUUAAAGUUGUUGCAGUUAAAAAGCUCGUAGUUGAAUUUCGGGGUCAGUAGGUCGGUCGUGCCACUGGUAUGAACUGGUUUUACUGAUUCCUCCCUCUUGAAGAACUGUAAUGCCAUUAAUUUGGUGUUGCAGGGAAUCAGGACUGUUACUUUGAAAAAAUUAGAGUGUUUAAAGCAGGCUUUAGCUUGAAUACAUUAGCAUGGAAUAAUGAAAUAGGACGUUUGAUCCUAUUUUGUUGGUUUCUAGGAUUGACGUAAUGAUUAAUAGGGAUAGUUGGGGGCAUUAGUAUUCAAUUGUCAGAGGUGAAAUUCUUGGAUUUAUUGAAGACUAACUACUGCGAAAGCAUUUGCCAAGGAUGUUUUCAUUAAUCAAGAACGAAAGUUAGGGGAUCGAAGACGAUCAGAUACCGUCGUAGUCUUAACCAUAAACUAUGCCGACUGGGGAUCGGAUGAUGUUAAUUUUUUAAUGACUCAUUCGGCGCCUUACGGGAAAC